CAUUCCAGCCUGGGUUGCC
rnacentral:piRNA from 1 species